GGCAAGUCUAAAUACAGAGCAACAUUUACAAGAAGGUUCAAGACCUGAUAAAUCAAGAUUGCUCCUCUACCCAAAUACACAAGCCCAGUCCCUACACAAUGAGCCUUAACUAAAGCAAAACCAAGGAAAAAUCUGGCUGCUAUCUCCUUCAAGCGCCCGACGACAGGAACCAUGCAUAGAGAUUACCAAGUAGAUGUUUUCCUUUCUCCAGAGAUAAGCCGAACAAACCAAACUAAACUAGAGCAAUGCAAACACCUCAGUGACUACUCAUAUUGGCAACUCUUCCAGAUUGAAGAUCAGAGGCCUAAACGCCGAUGCCAUGGAAGAGUAAAAUUGCAGGGCCAUAGCGAUCUCGAUCUCAUUCUCAUCUAGUUGUGGGAAGGCAACAACCACUCAUUUAAACGCUAGCCAAACAGCUAGCAAAAGAGCAAUUCACAAUCCAGGAAGCAACAACCUUAAUCUCUAAAAACACAGGUUCCUCUUGCAAAUCCGAAACAAGACACCCUCUCCAAAGAAACCAAGAUCUGCAAACCCAUUCACAAAACAGAACCAUACAUUUCAUCCACACAAGGGAAGGGUCAUAAGUCCUAACCCAGCCCGAGGAGACGCCAUCUCCAACCCCGAAGGGCAGAGGAGGCUAUCGAGCUCAUGCUUGGCUUAACCAAGAGACAAAAAC
rnacentral:misc_RNA from 1 species